GGAUCUCGUGGGUAAAAAAUUAAAACCGGGUCAACAAUGCAAGCAGCCCUCUCUCCCGAACUAAUUAGUCACUUUUCCUCAACCGCAACUGCUUCUGCUCUGCGUCAUCGCCUUCACCUCCACCCUAACAUUUUGCCUCUUCCACCACCGUCUCCGGCAUCGCUUUUUGCUUCUCCAGCCAUCCCUCUACCCUUCGCCGCUCCUGUCACGCAUCUACCCUCACCUCACCAAUCGCAAGACUGCUGGAGCGAAAGUGAAUUCCCCUAAAAGGCCUUUCCUUUCAUUAUCGGAAGUUCUUUCUUCGCACCCUCCUUCUCGCAUUCUCACCACUGGACUUCAGUCCUCUGUCGAUGGAACUACUGACCUGACUAAACAUCAAUCAACGAACUAUCAGCUCCUGCCACGCAUCUACCUAUCACCUCACCAAUCGCAAGACUGCUCCGAGUCCUCUCUACUUAUCCGUGCUUAAUUUUCUUGAACUGGGUUCUUCAGUCCGGAAGUUUUGAAGAAGCAGAAGAGCUUGAGAUUGCUUGUAAGAUGGCUGGUUUUUCAGCAUUUAAUAGCCUCGCACCCAAGACCAAGAACCUGGUUGUUGCUGGUGGCUUGACAGCUUUUGUUUUUGGGGUGUACUACUAUACCAUGCGAGCUGUUGGAGGUACUGAUGAGCUGCAGGUAGCCAUUGAUAAAUUUGAAGCAGAAAAACGCAAGACUGAGACACAAGAAGGCUUCGCACCAAAGGCCUAAUGUAAUAUUUGUUGUGCAUAUAAUAACGUGACUUGGAUGGAAUGUGGAAUACAAACUGUUUUUGUAAUUGUUCUUGCCUAUCAAGCUUUGUUCAAGAACAGUUCGAUACAAAGACCUACAUAAUUUUUCAUUAUUGAGCUUCUUGCAUGUAGUUAUCUUGUGGAAGUGCAA